ACUUCUCACUCAGCACAGAUUCUACUUUACUUUGACUUAACACAGUAAAAUGUAGAAAAACCUCUGAGGAGCUUUUUCACUGUGGACAUGCUGCCCUCUUGUGGCGCUGAAGGAAAUUGCACGUAGUUAAUGGCCUCACAUCUCACCUACAGUAAGAACAGCUAUGUUUAUCCAUUAAUUAUUAGAGCAUGGACCAAACUGACAUUUGGUAUUAGCCUCAGGUUUGUUAAGAGAGCUCAAAAACAUCCCCUUAAGCUUUGUGAAAAUUCACUGAAGUUGAGCAAUCAGUGCAUCUCCAAAAUUACAAAAUAGUCUCUUGGUACCAUACUCACACAAAGUUGGCCAUUUUGAAUCGUAAUGCACACCUUAUGUUGAAAAUGUUUACAGAAGCAGUUGUUUUGUUAAACCAAUGUGCAUCAGUAUGAAUAUUUGUGGUUUAUUUUGAAGGCGUUUUUUUUUUUUUUUAGUUUUUUUUCCGUUUUGUAUUUUGUAUUAUAAACUUUUUGUACUAUCAUUUAGAUGUUUGUGUACAGGAAUAAUUGAGUUUUGCUCACGUUAACAGUUACACAAGUCUAGAGUGUGAUUUCACUGAUUCGUCUACAUCCUGCAUCGUCAGAAGUAAUUUACAGUGUGCUGUCAUUCUGUUGCUGCUGUCAUUGUAAUACUUUUAUUUAAAUCUGACCCAUAAGUGUGGCUUGUGUUUAGGUUAUUAUGCUGCUUAUAAAUGUAGUGAAGUAAAGGGUAACAAUGGUUAAAAAAAACGAUCAAUCAUAGUGGAGUGGAAGUGUGAAGAAACGCGUUAGAGCUUAAUUUAAACGCAGCAAAAUACAAACUCUCCACAAGAGGGCGCCAUUUCACACCUCACGGCCCAUCCCGCCUUAUAUUUCUUCCUAACGUGCUAUGAGCUUAGUAAAGCUAACCUUGAUGUUUCACAAUAUAGCUUCCUGAAUACGCCGAAAAUGAGCCAGGUCACAAUUUAGGUUCCUUCGUGAGUUAUUGUACAUUUUUAGAUUAAGUUUAAAUGUAACUUGCUCGCAGGUGUAUGGUAGUGUUUUUGUUCACGUUGAACUGUUUUUUAAUGCAAAUUUUACUGCAAAACUUAAAAAAUACGUGUCGCACCUGUUCCCGUGUACAAAAUGCUUCAAACAGGGAUUGGACUGCGCAUUUGCUUUUGUUUUGAAACGGCGGAAGUACUUCCUCUAACUCUAACCCACAGUUUGACAGGGUCACGCUGCAAAUCCAGUCGGAUGUUUUGAGUCGCCAAUGUGUGAUGGGAACAUUUCCUCGUUUUGUUUGUUUGUUUGUUUGUUUUAAAUAAAAACUUCUCCAGCGGCGGCCAUUGAUCAGUGUUUUUAACCUCAGACUUAUGAGAAAGAGGUCGCCGUCCGGGCUCGUGUCGAUGCAGUGAGACCUUCACCUGCCACCUGGAAAUAAAGCUAAACGCAGGACAAGCAAGCAGGCUGACAAACCGAAGUUGCCCGUCACAGCCACAAGAGGGCGCUUCAGAUGGAGGCGACCUACAGGUCUGAGCUCCACCUGAUGGGGAGCAGAGCGACGACCCGCCUGAAGCGACUCGGAGUCACAGCUUGCGAAUCACCGGCAGAGGACUGCGAGUAGACACCGGAAAUGCACAGGAAAACGUUUCGGUUUCCACAUUUGUGGCAAAUGAUCAAUAUUGUCACUGAUGUUCUUUCUGAUAUGAACGGUCAUCAAAAUUCUUUCCAAUUAAUUUUGUAGUAAUUGUUGCACUGUAUGUCUUAUUUUCAUUGUUGCGGUGACCAAAAGUACUUCUCACUCAGCACAGAUUCUACUUUACUUUGACUUAACACAGUAAAAUGUAGAAAAACCUCUGAGGAGCUUUUUCACUGUGGACAUGCUGCCCUCUUGUGGCGCUGAAGGAAAUUGCACGUAGUUAAUGGCCUCACAUCUCACCUACAGUAAGAACAGCUAUGUUUAUCCAUUAAUUAUUAGAGCAUGGACCAAACUGACAUUUGGUAUUAGCCUCAGGUUUGUUAAGAGAGCUCAAAAACAUCCCCUUAAGCUUUGUGAAAAUUCACUGAAGUUGA